GAUGAACGCUGGUGGCGUGCCUAAUACAUGCAAGUCGAGCGAACAGAUAAGGAGCUUGCUCCUUUGACGUUAGCGGCGGACGGGUGAGUAACACGUGGGUAACCUACCUAUAAGACUGGAAUAACUCCGGGAAACCGGGGCUAAUGCAGGAUAACAUGUUGAACCGCAUGGUUCUACAGUGAAAGGCGGCUUUGCUGUCACUUAUAGAUGGACCCGCGCCGUAUUAGCUAGUUGGUGAGGUAACGGCUCACCAAGGCAACGAUACGUAGCCGACCUGAGAGGGUGAUCGGCCACACUGGAACUGAGACACGGUCCAGACUCCUACGGGAGGCAGCAGUAGGGAAUCUUCCGCAAAGGGCGAAAGCCUGACGGAGCAACGCCGCGUGAGUGAUGAAGGUCUUCGGAUCGUAAAACUCUGUUAUUAGGGAAGAACAAAUGCGUGAGUAACUGUGCGCGUCUUGACGGUACCUAAUCAGAAAGCCACGGCUAACUACGUG
rnacentral:rRNA from 1 species